UACAGAGGUCUCAACCGUUGUUCGGAUUCAUUGGGCGUAAAGGGUGCGUAGGCGGUCGGGUAAGUCGGAUGCGAAAUCUCAGGGCUCAACCCUGAAACUGCAUUCGAUACUGCCUGGCUAGGGUACUGGAGAGGAGACUGGAAUUUACGGUGUAGCAGUGAAAUGCGUAGAUAUCGUAAGGAAGACCAGUGGCGAAGGCGAGUCUCUGGACAGUUACCGACGCUGAGGCACGAAGGUCAGGGGAGCAAACGGG
rnacentral:rRNA from 1 species